rnacentral:lncRNA from 1 species
UGGUUUUAGCAGGACUGAAUCUCAAGCUCGCCACCCACACGCUAGAACAAAAGGACUUGCAAGUUGCACAGCUUCUGGAAACUUCCAUACACCAGAGGGAGGUAUAGGAAAUGUUCGGUUGGCUACAGUUAGAGGCAACUACUCUGUUGCUUCCAACUUAACUUCACAGCCUCCUCAGGUAACGGAGACAAAGACUUCUGCAACCAGGCCAGGCAGAGCUCCGUUCUUACCAUUAAAGUCCCCUUUGGUCUGCUGGCCCAAGGCAGACUCAUCCGAUA